GCCCCGUUCGUCUAGUGGCCCAGGACGCUAGCCUCUCACGCUGGAAACAGGGGUUCGAUUCCCCUACGGGGUACCA
rnacentral:tRNA from 1 species